AGGAAAUUAUCGCGGUUUUGAUGAGGUUCAGGGAGAAGCUGACCAAGAAAUCGAACUUCAUCCUGACAGUAAGGGAGUAAAGGAAUACAGCAUCAAAACAACGCGGUUCAACAGCGUCUCGUACUUGUGCCUUCACUUUCCCGGCAACUACGGAGACGUUGACAACACGCGCAUCUCCUACAUUGGUCUCCGGGGAGACUUCAAGAAAAUCAACCGCGACGCUAUUGCUAUAACAAAUUACGAACUUAGGCCCAGUCUAGCUGAUCAUAAAAACGCCCUGGACGAAGGAAUGAGACAUGUGUUAUGAGCUAGAGUAUCCACAAGCUAUGGAAUUAUUUACGCAGAGCCGGAUCAUUGGAAAGGCGACGUGCUUACGGGCAUAUAUUUAUUCUGUCCUUGAUGAACAUGGGCCUCAUUGUUUCUUCUAUACAUGCGAGCCAAUUUUCUGUACUGUGGCUGAUCCUGAUUAGUCGCGGAACUGGCUCGAGGACCGCGUUUUAGUAAUGCCACUUCGCUUAUUAGGUUUUAUCAUUUUGAUAUAAAAAAAAUACAUUUUCAAUCAUA